CUACGGAGGGAGCAAGCGUUAUUCGGAAUCACUGGGCGUAAAGGACGCGUAGGCGGGUUUGUAAGUCAGGUGUGAGAUCCUACAGCUCAACUGUAGAACUGCACUUGAAACUACAGACCUAGAGUAUGGAAGGGGCAGAUGGAAUUAGUGGUGUAGGGGUAAAAUCCGUAGAUAUCACUAGGAAUACCGAAAGCGAAGGCGAUCUGCUGGGACAUUACUGACGCUGAGGCGUGAAAGCGUGGGGAGCAAACAGGAUUAGAAACCCCAGUAGUCC
rnacentral:rRNA from 1 species